rnacentral:lncRNA from 10 species
CGACUGGAAAGGUGAGCUCUAGAUGGGCUCUGGGGGGAGUAGGGCUGUGUGGUAUCACUGAGAAGCUGGAUCUCAGAAGAGUUAAGGAAGAAAGGGAAUAAUGAGUCAAGGGGAUAUCAGGGAAAAGGGAAUGUCAAGCAGAAGCCACAGGCGGGGAAAUGGCCCUGUGAUGGGAAGUGCCUGCUUUGGUGGAAACCCAGCCAUGAGGCCAGGGCAGCUGGAGCAGAAUGCAAAGGGAAGUGGGGGUGGGAGAGAUAAUCAGAGGAGGGAUGGGGGUUCAGAUCCUCUAGGGCCUGGGGGUUCACAUCCUCUAGGGCCUGGGGAUUCACUGUGAGGAUUCUGACUUUCACUCUAAGUUGAAUGGGAGGUCUUUGUGAUGGUAUCUAAGUCACUGUGAUGCCAACAUAUCCUUGGGUGCUAAAGGAAUCAGCCCAGCUGCUGUAGAGAGAAUGGGAGUGGAAGGGCCUAGAGCCCAAGCAGGACCACUGUGAGGAAACGAAAGUCAUAAUCCAGAGGGGCAGGAUGGAGUUCUGACCAUGGUUACAGCAGCAGGGUGGCCAGGACAACUGAACCCCGGACAUAUUCUGAAGGAACGUUCGCUACGCUAGGACUGCAUCUUGGGAACAGAAUUUUAGAGAUGAUCAUCUCUUACAUCAGAAGCAGGAUCUAAAUGAUCCCUGGAUGCCCAAUUUCCUGACCCUGCUAUUGUUGUGGGUGGCAAGAUAAGAGGAGUUGCAUCACAGAUGAAAAAGUAAGGCCGAAGAAGACCAGAGAAGAGUUGGUUGAAUGUGUAGAUAUAAGAUCCAUCUGUGACAUUGUAGAAUGAAAUUUCACCGGCUUCAUAGUCCAAGAAAAUCCCAAUGCAGCGAGGACUUUCCAGUUGGAGAAGAGGCACUGAUGGGGAGGCAAGGACCAUGUACUCAUUCCCUUUCAGCAGCCACAGGGCCCAGACCCCAUUCUCAGGAGAUGGCGUGGUUUCCCCCUUUCUUGGCAGUGUGUCUUGACAGACCCCUAAACCCCACUCUGCUCCUUCUCCCACCAGAACCUCCCAGUAAUGCCUCCCUGAUGAGAAGCUCUGCAAACCCAGGAUGCAGGGCCAUGUGUCAAAUCGCUCAGGGUUGUUGGGGACAUCCCUCCAUGGUUCUCCAUCCUGCACACUGCGCAGGUCGGCGGUCAAGAGCAGACUCGGGUGCGCCGUGGCGGGAUCCAGCUUUACAUCCACUGCGGAAAGAAUGUGGUGGACCAGGUGAAAGGAAAGAAAGGACUGGUAGAAACUUAGGAAACCACUGAAAAGAAUAGUCCCACAGUUCCUCACUUUUCUCUCUCUAUUAACUCCUAGAGAAAACAAAUCAGUAUUUCACCUUACAGGUGAAAUCUUCUUUAUUACUUUAUUAUUCUUAUUCUUUAUAACUUUCUGGUAUAUUCCACUGUUACCUCUGCGUAACCCAGAAC